rnacentral:sRNA from 1 species
UCCUAGCCCAGAUGGGAGCGGCAUCCUUUUUCUUGCUUCUUUAGCAAGAAAAAGAUAUAGCGGACAGCUGGAUUUAGC